GACGAACGCUGGCGGCGUGCUUAACACAUGCAAGUCGAACGGAAAGGCCCUGCUUUUGUGGGGUGCUCGUGUGGCGAACGGGUGAGUAACACGUGAGUAACCUGCCCUUGACUUUGGGAUAACUUCAGGAAACUGGGGCUAAUACCGGAUAGGAGCUCCUGCUGCAUGGUGGGGGUUGGAAAGUUUCGGCGGUUGGGGAUGGACUCGCGGCUUAUCAGCUUGUUGGUGGGGUAGUGGCUUACCAAGGCUUUGACGGGUAGCCGGCCUGAGAGGGUGACCGGCCACAUUGGGACUGAGAUACGGCCCAGACUCCUACGGGAGGCAGCAGUGGGGAAUAUUGCACAAUGGGCGGAAGCCUGAUGCAGCAACGCCGCGUGCGGGAUGACGGCCUUCGGGUUGUAAACCGCCUUCGCCUGUGACGAAGCGUGAGUGACGGUAAUGGGUAAAGAAGCACCGGCUAACUACGUG
rnacentral:rRNA from 1 species